UACGGAGGGGGCUAGCGUUGUUCGGAAUUACUGGGCGUAAAGCGCACGUAGGCGGCUUUGUAAGUUAGAGGUGAAAGCCCGGGGCUCAACUCCGGAAUUGCCUUUAAGACUGCAUCGCUAGAAUUGUGGAGAGGUAAGUGGAAUUCCGAGUGUAGAGGUGAAAUUCGUAGAUAUUCGGAAGAACACCAGUGGCGAAGGCGACUUACUGGACACAUAUUGACGCUGAGGCGCGAAAGCCAGGGGAGCGAACGGG
rnacentral:rRNA from 1 species